rnacentral:rRNA from 1 species
AGAUUGCAGGCUGAAACUCGCCUGCAUGAAGUCGGAAUUGCUAGUAAUCGCAGAUCAGCAUGCUGCGGUGAAUACGUUCCCGGGCCUUGUACACACCGCCCGUCACACCAUGAGAGUCGGGAACACCCGAAGUCCGUAGCCUAACCGCAAGGGGGGCGCGGCCGAAGGUGGGUUCGAUAAUUGGGGUGAAGUCGUAACAAGGUAAC